rnacentral:rRNA from 1 species
CAGUAGCCGCGGUAAUACGUAGGUGGCAAGCGUUGUCCGGAAUUAUUGGGCGUAAAGGGCUCGCAGGCGGUUUCUUAAGUCUGAUGUGAAAGCCCCCGGCUCAACCGGGGAGGGUCAUUGGAAACUGGGAAACUUGAGCGCAGAAGAGGAGAGUGGAAUUCCACGUGUAGCGGUGAAAUGCGUAGAGAUGUGGAGGAACACCAGUGGCGAAGGCGACUCUCUGGUCUGUAACUGACGCUGAGGAGCGAAAGCGUGGGGAGCGAACAGGAUUAGAUACCCCGGUAGUCCCUGUCUCUUAUAC